UACGUAGGUGGCAAGUGUUGUCCGGAUUUACUGGGCGUAAAGAGCGCGCAGGCGGUCGUUCAAGUCGCGUGUGAAAGCCCCCGGCUCAACUGGGGAGGGUCACGCGAUACUGAUCGACUCGAAGGCAGGAGAGGGUAGUGGAAUUCCCGGUGUAGUGGUGAAAUGCGUAGAUAUCGGGAGGAACACCAGUGGCGAAGGCGACUACCUGGCCUGUUCUUGACGCUGAGGCGCGAAAGCUAGGGGAGCAAACGGG
rnacentral:rRNA from 1 species